rnacentral:snRNA from 1 species
UUUCUUUCGCAGAGGCAAUAUUGUAGCCUGUGAGGUUAAUCCAAGGCGUGAUCAGUGCUGGUUGAAAACUUUACUAGGGGGCAGUCG